rnacentral:lncRNA from 1 species
GGGGUCACUUUGGAGGCAUGAAUUGAGCCAGAUUAUUAGUAAAAUGCCUUCCAACUGUGAGCUUCUGUGCUGUGUAGGCGAUAGGAGGGCCUGGAUCUUGUGUGGGGAUCUCUCUACUCAUGCAGGCCUUAAGAAGGUGAGGAAACAGAGACCUGGAGAGAAUAAAUGGCUUGUUGAGCCCAGGAUGGCCCUGGGAUUGGCUUUGGGGUUCUGCCUUCCUCCUCCUGACUCCACCAUGGAUCCCACACUCUGGGCCGGUGAAUGGUGGCUAACCUACAAGAUGUUUAAAUGCGGAGUGGACUUCCUUAUUCCCUCAGCAGAAAUCCCUUGGUCAGUCUGAGCAGAAACUUACAAAGCCCCCCAGAAAGAGAGAGAUGACUUCCAAGUCUCUGCGGGACCCUGAGAGAGAAAGGAGCAAAACCCUUUCCCAGGCUGACCCUUUGAGCUCUCUUCCUUGCUCUACAUCUGGGUUUGGGUCGGUCCUUUCUGCAGUUCUGAGUGGAAUCGUCAGUACUGCUGGGGAUAGAACCCGACUCCAUCCACCUAGAGAAACUUGUACUCAUCCCUUUAACCCCCUUUGGUAGCACAUUCCACCACCCCACUCUCUAGGUGCUCAAGGCCCCAAUUUCCAGCCCUAAAAAUGGAGGAGAAUAUAGCUUAUAAAGUACCUCCCUGUUCCAAAGUCCUAUGUUCUUUGAUUUCCCCCCAGAUUUGAUGUUUGCUCUAUGGGAUCUUAGAUUGGAAGCUCAGGGGCCUUUAGAAAUUAUGUAGUCCAACUCUCAUCUCCCCUGCCCCAUUUUACAGAUGAGGAAAAUGGGGGCCACUGGAGUUUAAAAGGAUUAGGCAAGGUCACUGGUAGAGACAGAAAUUUCUAUCCAUUUCCCUGAUUCCAAAUCCAUCUACUUCUGUCACUUCAUGUUCUAUGUUCUAUGGCUUCUCCGGGUUCUGACAUUCUUCCAGUUCUGAUUUUUCUGUUCUGAAGGUCCCUUCUGGUUUUGAUGUUGUGUGCCUGUGUCUGCUCUAGCUCUGAGCUACUGAGUCUGAGAUUCUGAGGCUCCUGUUUGGAUCCAACAUUCUAUGGAGUGAGUAUUAAAUGACAAUAAUGGAACUAGCACUGACUUUUAAUAGUCCCAGGAUCUGUGUUUUCUUCUCCCUGACCUACAACUCCUCUUCCCCCUUGGUAGAUGGUCCUGCCCGCUGCCCUCACCCACCCCAAAGAGGUGAUGAGUCUUUCCAAAUUCAGCUAGAGUUGUCUAAAUGACAGAUGCUGCUCAUUGCCUGGCCUUCCUCCCUUGGCAGGACCUGCCAGAGCUGGUGUUCCAUUGGUCUGACUUUCGAGA